rnacentral:rRNA from 1 species
GAUGAACGCUGGCGGCGUGCCUAAUACAUGCAAGUCGAGCGAACAGACGAGGAGCUUGCUCCUCUGACGUUAGCGGCGGACGGGUGAGUAACACGUGGAUAACCUACCUAUAAGACUGGGAUAACUUCGGGAAACCGGAGCUAAUACCGGAUAAUAUAUUGAACCGCACGGUUCAAUAGUGAAAGACGGUUUUGCUGUCACUUAUAGAUGGAUCCGCGCCGCAUUAGCUAGUUGGUAAGGUAACGGCUUACCAAGGCAACGAUGCGUAGCCGACCUGAGAGGGUGAUCGGCCACACUGGAACUGAGACACGGUCCAGACUCCUACGGGAGGCAGCAGUAGGGAAUCUUCCGCAAUGGGCGAAAGCCUGACGGAGCAACGCCGCGUGAGUGAUGAAGGUCUUCGGAUCGUAAAGCUCUGUUAUUAGGGAAGAACAAAUGUGUAAGUAACUAUGCACGUCUUGACGGUACCUAAUCAGAAAGCCACGGCUAACUACGUG